rnacentral:rRNA from 1 species
AGCAGCCGCGGUAAUUCCAGCUCCAAUAGCGUAUAUUAAAGUUGUUGCAGUUAAAAAGCUCGUAGUUGAAUUUCGGGAUCAAUAUGCCGGUCAUGCCUUGGUAUGCACUGGUAUCUUUGAUUUCUCCCUUCUGACGAACUUUGAUGUCAUUAAUUUGGUGUCAUAGGGAAUCAGGACUGUUACUUUGAAAAAAUUGAGUGUUUAAAGCAAGCUCACGCUUGAAUACAUUAGCAUGGAAUAAUGAAAUAGGACGUUUGAUUCUAUUUUGUUGGUUUCUAGGAUUCGACGUAAUGAUUAAUAGGGAUAGUUGGGGGCAUUAGUAUUCAAUUGUCAGAGGUGAAAUUCUUGGAUUUAUUGAAGACUA